UGCUCGGCCGUAAACUUAGAGUUUUAUUCUAACAAGAACUCCGCCAGAGAACUAUAUGCGAAAGCCAAAAACUCAAAGGACUUGACGGUGUCCUAAUCACCCUAGAGGAGCCUGUCCUUUAAUCGAUACUCCACGCUUUACCUCACCCUUUUUAGCAUCACAGCCUAUAUACCGCCGUCGAAAGCCUACCUCAUGAGAGCACUCCUGUAGGCAAAAAGAGCUCCUUCCCCAUACGUCAGGUCAAGGUGUAGCUAAUAAAAGGGAAAGUGAUGGGCUACACUCUUUAAACUAAAGAUCCAAAGGUAUUAUGAAAACUUACCUAAAAGAUGGAUUUAGCAGUAAAUUUAACAAGUAGUGUUAACUUGAAGCCUGCUCUAGGACGCGUACAC
rnacentral:rRNA from 1 species